UCUAAGUCCUAAACCAGGCCACUCUGGCUCU
rnacentral:piRNA from 1 species